UGCUGUAAAUCCUCACCUUUGGUAUAACCUUGAGCUUCCACAACUUCUUCCACUGCUGCUCCGAAGUGGAGCUACCUGGAUUAUCAGCAACAUGCUGAACCAACAUAUAGUAUGCAGACCGAAGUGUAUAAGUUCCUGUUUCUUCUAGUGGUGUCGUGUGAACGUCGACUACACGACACUUCACCUUUAUGGGCCUAGGGGAAUGCAUCUUGUACUCGUUUGCCAAUUGCGGGGUUGCCGGAGUGACAGAAACCUGAGCCCCCGUUGGUAUAUCGAUGCAGGAGGGAUAGCAGGAUCUCAGAGUUUAAGGCUGUGGUUAGAUUUAUCUUAAUUACUUUCUUGUAGUUGCGGAUGCUUGCAAGGGGUAUAAUCACAAGUAUGUAUUAGUCCUAGGAAGGGCGGUACAUUAGCAUAGAUUCACCCACACAACACUUAUCAAAACAAUGAAGAUUAAUCAGCUGUAUGUAGCGAAAGCACUAGACUAAAUUCCCGUGUGUCCUCAAGAACGUUUAGUCAUUAUAAGUAAACAAACCGGCUUGUCCUUUGUGCUAAAAAGGAUUGGGCCACUCGCUGCAAUUAUUUCUCUCGCACUUUAUUUACUUGUACUUUAUUCAUCUGUUACAUCAAAACCCCCUGAAUACUUGUCUGUGAGCAUUUACAGUGAAUCCUUCAUUGAAACUGCUUGUCAACACCUUCUGCUCCUCGUUGGGAUCGACAUUCUUACUUAUCGAAGAUACUACGAUACACCCCCUAUACUUGUGGGUCAUCAAGACUAUUUUCUGGCGCCGUUGCCGGGGAGUGAAGCGCUAUUGGUAAAAGAGACAAACCACGAUGCGAUUAGUUGGGGAGCCAAAUUAUUCGUGCAAUUGUCAAAUAAAGUGUUCCAAGCGAAUCAUGGACGGAGGCCCAUGAAACUGAUGAAGUGAAGACAAGAACAUAGGAAAACAAACGAAUGAUAAAAAAGUCGGCACACAAUCAAGAAUUAGGAAAAGAUCAUGUUACUUGUGGUUGAAUAGCUGCUUUUUCUUGAGACUCUUGGCUCUCUUGUUUUUUAUUUGUCUGAUUUCUUUCUUUCUGUACUGAACAUGGUUUCUGGUAAUAGAAAUCGGGGGAAAUCCCUUAUUUAAGAAAAA